UGCAGCCUUGUCAAUUUCAUUGGGUUCUAUCCAGCUGACUUAGCUGGCCAAAGUGGCUGCUAAAAACAAUGUAGUUGAUGGGCCCAACAUUCCUUACUGGGGAUAAAUAGGUGUUUUAAACAUGA